rnacentral:rRNA from 1 species
UACGUAGGGUGCAAGCGUUGUCCGGAAUUAUUGGGCGUAAAGCGCGUGUAGGCGGCCCGAUAAGUCCGCUGUGAAAGUCCAGGGCUCAACCCUGGGAUGCCGGUGGAUACUGUCGGGCUCGAGUCCGGAAGAGGCGAGUGGAAUUCCUGGUGUAGCGGUGAAAUGCGCAGAUAUCAGGAGGAACACCAAUGGCGAAGGCAGCUCGCUGGGACGUGACUGACGCUGAGACGCGAAAGCGUGGGGAGCAAACAGG